GGAGGGUCUGCAGCACCUGCCUCUGAUGUCUGAGGCAGACGAGUGGCCGUGGUCCCAGAACGUAGACCAGAAGUUCUGGGACCAACAGACUGAAAUCCUCCUCAGAGCCACUUCAUCCAUUUUUUAUUUAAAUUUCUGAUUAACUUUUGUAUAUAGUUCUGUUUAUAGUUCCGUGUAAAUAGUUCCAUUUAAGGUUUAAUGUUUGUUUUUCUCUUGUUUUUGUUGCUCUACAGUGUUGACCAUCCAACUGUAGAACAUCCACCUUACAGCUCCACCUGCAGCCAAUAACAUCGGCUUGUGUCAACAUCCACCUCGUCUCCACCUGCAGCCAACAACAUCGGCUUGUUGUCUCCUCUCAGCCAGUGAGAAGUCUUUGUCCAUCUCCACCUGUGGCCUCUACAUCCACCCUCAGACUUGAAGAAGAACCAACUCCAUCUGCAGGCACCAGCAGCUUCUUCCUCCAACAACAGUACUGUGUAGAAGUCUCGUGCCACUCCUUUCUUUGCUUUUGUCUCCAACGUUGACCUUGUCCUGAGCAGUAGUUUCUGUUGCUCAAGACAAGUUUAACUUUUCCUGGAAGCUUUUAAACCUGCAGCUUUUUCUACUUUCCUCCACCAUCUGUUCUCCGGGCUUUCUGAUGGUCUGAAAGUUUUCUUUUUACAUUGGCUGCUUUAUAACUUGUUUGUGGAGCUGAGUGGUUAUGGAGGAAUGUGUUUGUUUAUAUUAUUGUUUGUUUGUUCAUAUCGUUAUGUGUGUGUUUGUCUCUUAACACUGACCUCUGAAUCAGCAGCCUCUGUCUGAGGGUGAUGUUUGGUUUGAACUAAGCCAGGAUGUCGUGUUGGGAGAAGAUCCUUCUGAGUUUCUGCUGCCACAUAUGAAGGACAAUAUUCUUCCUCCCGUUAUUUCUGUCUUCUCCGUUUUGUGUUGUUCCAGUUUUUUAGCUGAUUUAAUGAAAUUCCAGUUUGGAUGUAAACAGGUUUGAAGUGCUUCCUUAAUGUGUUUUUGUUCUUUAAGUUUUUCCUCAUAGGAACUUUUUCAGCCACAUGGUGUGAGGUUCUGAUGGCGGACAGUUGGUGUUCCAGUGGGUGGUGUUGGUCAGACAGCGGAUACUGGUCUGUGUGGGUUUCUGGUAAAUUCCAGUGUUGAGGCUUCCAACCUCCUCAAUGUGAACACAGUCCAUAAAAGACGACUUUUAUGGACGUAGACCAGGAUCUGGGUUUUUACUCACACCACCCACUAAAAAGACAAACUGUCCGUUGAGGAUGGAGGGAAAACUUAAGGAAUAAAAGCACAUCAAGUAAGCCAUUUAAACCAGUUCAUAUCCAAAUGGAGGUUUCAUCAAAUCAGCUAAAACUUCUGGUAAAACACAGAGAAGACAGAAAGAACAGGAGGAAGAAUAUUGUCAUUCCACAUGUGGCAGGAAUGACCCAACAUGACUCAGACAGAACAAAAAGCAGCCAAGGUGUUUCAGCAAAUCUCUGCUUCUUUUUCUGACCUUUUUCUGCUUCUUUUGGUUUUGUUUGGGGUUUUUUUUUUUUAUCUGGAGUGGCUCCAGACUUUUACACAGUACUGUCCCCCAAGGUAAGAAUUCACCUUCCAUCCCUGUGAUGGACAAACAUCAUGUUAACUUUUCUUUAUUUAUCAAAUCAUUUCUCAUCUUCAGUUGUCUCACAUGAUAAAAUUGUAUAAUUCUUUUCCUUUCCUGGUGCCUGAGAUGUCCUGACUGAAGAAAGCAUUGUGUCAAAGACUGAAGUUAAACAGAUGAAGUGUUGAUAUUUAAAGGAGUGAAGUUCUCCAGCUGAAUUUAGUUCUUUCUUUUACCACAUUUUUUUUCAGGUUUCCACCUGCAGCCCGUUACCAUCUCUAUCUGUAACCACGGUGAUCCAUCUGCAGAGGAACCUCUCCACCUUCUGCCAUCAACCUCCAGACCCAGUUGGAUUUCAGUGACCCAGAUCAAGUGGACUCUGACCAAGAACCAUUCAUCGUCUGUGCCUCACAUUAUUCCGGAUUCCUUCCUCCACCUCCACACCACCUCAUCGUUCCUCUGACUGGGAGUGCUCUUCCACGGGGCCUUUUCUCUGGACUGAUUGUUUAAUUAUUUA